UACGGAGGAGGCAAGCGUUAUCCGGAAUUAUUGGGCGUAAAGCGUCCGCAGGUGGCUGUUCAAGUCUGCUGUCAAAGCGCAGAGCUUAACUCUGUAAAGGCGGUGGAAACUGUAGGUCUUGAGUAUGGUAGGGGUAGAGGGAAUUCCCGGUGUAGCGGUGAAAUGCGUAGAUAUCGGGAAGAACACCAGUGGCGAAAGCGCUCUACUGGGCCAUAACUGACACUGAGGGACGAAAGCUAGGGGAGCGAAAGGG
rnacentral:rRNA from 1 species